rnacentral:rRNA from 1 species
AAUGAACGCUGGCGGCAGGCCUAACACAUGCAAGUCGAACGAGUGGCGGACGGGUGAGUAAUGUCGGGGAAACUGCCUGAUGGAGGGGGUUAACUACUGGAAACGGUAGUUAAUCCCGCAUACCAUCAGAUGUGCCCAGAUGGGUUUAGCUUGUUGGUGGGGUAACGGCUCACCAAGGCGACGGUCCCUAGCUGGUCUGAGAGGAUGACGAGCCAUACUGGAACUGGUACACGGGCCAGACUCCUCCGAGAGCCAACAGUGGGAAAAGUGGCAGAUAGGGCGCAAGCCGGGUACAGCCAUGCCGCGUGUAUGGAGAAGGGCUUCAAGUUUUAAAGUACUUAAAGCGGGGAGGCGGUAGCCGCAGAAGAAGCACCGGCUAACUCCGUGCCAGCAGCCGCGGUAAUUC